GUGCAAGGUCCCGAGUUUGAUCCCUGGUACCAAAAAAAAAAAAAAAAAGAAUAACCAAGAUACACAUUGCUCUUAUUUCUGAGAUGUUGUAUGCCCUGUGUUUAUAUUAUUCUAGAGAGCAACGAACACUUGUUUUACCCAUAAAGUCUUCAUGUCUUAUAUUUUACAGAGCAUUUCCCUCCAAAUACAUUAAAUGUCUUCUACUUAGUAUUGUUCUUUACAUCCUCUUUUCGUAAUAGACAAUCAGGGUCUAUUUUUAACAUUUUUUUCCCUCAUCCUUACACCAUCUCCAUUAUGCUCUCUUUUCAAGCCCUAUCAAUAGCUAUUGCCUGUGGCUGGUAUGCGCUAAGUUUGCUGUUCUUAAUCAGGAAAGAGAUGAGAAGCCCUACCACAGUUCUUGUUUUUUUCCAAAGAAUUUCUUCUCUUCUUCCUUCUCCUGCUCUCCUCCCUGCUUUUCUUUUUAAAUUAGAGGUCACUGUGGGGCCGGGGAUGUGACUCAGUGGUAGAGUCCUGCCUGGAUUGUGCAAGGGAAGGCCACAGUCUGAGUUCUAAGGCCACAAAAAAUAAAUAAAAUAAAAUGACAUAAAAUUAGAUUAAAUUGCAGGCCAUGGAAUUUGCAGGAUUCCUGUAAUUUCAAACCUCAGCUCUUCCCUGGUGAGCAGCUAUGGUGUUUGAGGUCUUUACUAAGGUGACAGGAAGACAGUCUGGACCAAGGAUGCUCUCUCCUCAGGGAAAACAGGGAAAUUUAUGAAAAGCAACAAUUCUUUGGAGCCACCCCCCCCCCCAUACAACUGCUUAAUGCAAAAAAAAAGAUGACAACGUAGCAUGCUUCUGUGACCAGAUAUGUGGGAUUUCCCCACAUUCAUCAGUUCUCUGACACCGGGCCAUCGUACAGUUCAAUUCCGACACCACCUACCUGGAGAUAGUGUCAGACCCUGCAGGUGAAGAGCUCAGCUUCACAAAACUGCCUCAUACACCAGCUACUGCUGCAUGUUUCCGGUUUACUCACGACUUCAGUUCAGCUGGGGUACAAAUCCAAGGCCCCCACAGUCCCCUUCUUGUUUGAUCACAGAGGUCACAGAAACUCUCCUUCCUUUACCCACUUCUUACUAAUGGGUACAGCCCAGGAACAGCCACCUGGGAGGAGGCAUAGGGCUGACAGAGGAGAAAGGGGUACAGCGAUCCCGAGUCCUCUCCGGAGUGCCAUCCUCCCUGCACCCAUGUUUGUUCCUAUUCACCAGUACGGAAGCUCCCUGAACCCCACAGUUCAGGGACUUUUCUAGAGGCUUCAGCGUGUUAGGGUGACCGGUGAUGAACUCACCCCCCGGCUCUCUCCCUUACCAGAGGAUGCCUUGUGGGGCUGAGAGUUCCAAGGUUCUCUCUUGGCGUAGUCUUUCCAGUGACCGGGCCCCAUCCAAGACCUGCUCAUUAGAACAAAAGAGGGUCUUAUUGCCCAGGAAAUCCUAUGCAAUUCUGGAGCUCUGUGUCAGCUGUCAGGUACUGGGUCAAAAACCAAAUGUUAAGACCAAAGAUACUGCCAUAUUGAUCAGGGAAUGCCAAGGGUUUGGGGAGCUCCGUGCCAGGAAUCGGGCACCAAGACCAAAAGACCUGCUUCUCAUUAGAAAUCACAGUGAUCGAUCAUAGCAUCACACAGCCCGGGUGGUGUCUGCAGCGAGGUGGGCCUGCCUGCUUUCCGGCUAGGAGAGAUGCAGGUCCUUCCUCACCAGUGGCAGUGAUGGCCAGUGUCGGCCUGGACUUAGAAGCUCCUGAGCAGCAGACAUAGCUCCGUAGCUAACGUAAGACACAGAACACGCCUUGUACAGUCUUCUGGUGGCUGAGCAAAGGAAGUGGAGUCCGUAAGAAUUGGCAACAUGGAAACAAAAGGAUUGGACUUGAGGAUGGCAAAGACCCAGGUAAGGUGGCAUCCUUAUUGUUUAAAAAAACAAGACUGGCUCCUUGGGUAGCUUAAUUAUUGACAAAUUUCCUUCCCUUUCCUUCCAUCCCUCCCUCCUUCCUGUGCACGUCCAUGGCCUUUCUGUGGGGUCUGCUCUCUCUUUUGAAGCCUAACUGGAGCUGCUUCCCUCCCUUCUCCAGCCCUGGUGCCUGCAAGUCAGCCUGUGUGUGAGGUGGGCAGGAACCUGGUGGCUGUCCCCCCUAGCAAACUCCAUCAGGGCAGCGCUGGGCCGCGGAGGGGAGCAGGCAGAUUUCUGGAACAGUGCUUGCCUGGAAUGCUCUGUGUCCUCCCAGACCCCUGUUGCUCUGCUGGCGAUGCAGAGUCUGUGCUGCAGUCUAAUCGCUGCUGAGAAUCCUGGUACUUCCAGAAAUUCCUCUCUGGCCCGUGUUGGGCUUCAUCUUGUACACAGAGGGGAGCGGAGGGAAGGAAGAUGGAGUGCUGCUCUGUGGCCUGCCUGGGAAGACCUCCGUUUUGUACGGCUUUCGCUCUCAGGGUGAUAAGCUCUUCACCGAGCGCAGUGAAUUUGCUCCUGCCAGCCUCUGGGCCAGCUUCAUCCUCCGGAAAAUCAAGGCAGCAAGUCCUCUGGAGGAGCCGCGGCCCUGUUUUCUAGGCGGGCAGACGACUCUGCAGACAAGGCGAGGACGCGCGGCUGCGACUCACCUCGGCCGCAGACGGGGCUCCGAGGAGCUGCAGGCCUCCGGGCCUUAGGCUGCCCUCACCCUCCGCUGAGGGAUGAGGAGGGUGCGGGCUGCUACUGUCAUCACUGGAAACCCCCACAGUCCGGUAAACUCAGGGACCAGGGAUCUUCAGGUGCACCGUGGCCUGGGCCCGGCAGCGCAAAGUCCCCUCUCAGGCCCGCUCUGCACACACAGGGCCUCUGCGGCCCGCCAGGCCCCUCUCUUCCCCCGCAGGGCCCGGGGUCUGGGGCAGGGGCUGUCUUCCUUCUGCCCACCCCACCCCACCCAGCCUCACCCAGCUCCUUCUGCACGCUCAGUGCGGAUAACAGUGCAGGGCACUGCUCUAUGCCCCUCUGAGUCGCUCCUGUGAAUAAACGCUUGGGGUGUGGAAUCGGAGCCCUGUGGCAGCCUGGAACCAGGGACUCAGGUCUUGCUAAAUUGCCCAAGUGGGACUUGAACGUGUGUUUCUCCUGUCUUGGCCACCCAAAGUGCUGCAUCUUUAAAUGACCUUCAAAGUGUUUGUUUGCUUGAGAAGGCCCUCCAGAGAAAUAUGCAAGGAACCUGCUAAAACUCAGCCAGUCACUCUGGCACACUCUUUUAUGUGAACUAAAGUCAACUUCACUCAUUAUCAAACCAAAUUCUCCACCCAGAAGGAUUCCUGCCCUGCACGUUUUUCAAUGUUUUGAACCAUUUUUCUCCAUCAGUUUUUGGAGCACAUGAUGUAGGACCUUGAACUGAGCCUGCUUAGGCAUGUGAAUGUGCCCGCUCUGCAUGUGACGACAGUCUUUCCUGGACGAGUCUGUGGGGAUCCCCCAUGGAAGCCCUGCUCUUCUCUGUCCAGGGAGACACUUCAGUGACAGUCACCCCCAUGCUGCAAGUGAGACUCCUUUCUUCACUCCUAUAUCUUGGUUCUGUUGCUUGGCUUUGCCCUCAUCUGUGGGGAAACUCACUGCGUUUGGUUACAGCUGCUCGAAUGUCCUCACAUAUGGCAACUGGCUAUCCCCAGGAUGAACCAUCCCUGAGAGAGGUGGCAAUGUAUUUCGUGACCUGACCUCAGAAAUCCUGUACAGUCACCUCAGCCAUGUUGUCUCGCUGCAGAAGAGCCCUUAAGUCUGGCUCCCAUUCAAGGUAAAGGACUUAGACUUCAUGUUUUGAAGGCAGGCAGGUCAAAGCAUUAGUGGAUGUCGUUUAGAGAUCUCUUUGUAUAAGUUUGAAAAGCAGAGGUCAUCUUGUGAUUUAGGUGAGGAAGAAAAGGGCCUGCAACCUAACUCAAAAACAGUGGGAACAGGCACAGAAUUGGGAGCCAUUAAAGUGCUGGAAUCCAUGGGGUUUGCAAACCAUUUGCAAUCAGUCUGAACUGAGGGAAACCUGGAGAGGUGGAGGGAGAGUACAGUCAGGACUCACUAAAGGCAAGACGUUUCCGGGCAGCGAAAUGGGCAUUUCACAGAGGCAGGUGUAGAUGCGGUGUGUGUGUGGGUGGAUGGGUGGGGUUGUAAGCAGGAAAUCUAUGAGUGCAAAUGAGAUGACCUUUCUAAAGGGAGUGGCGGAGAGUGGCCCCCAGAUUCCACUUGCUAACGCUGCCGGGCAAUGUGGAGGGUCUUUAGGGGUAGGUGGUCGUGCAUUUGACUGUCUGCCUGGCUACAUGGCUAUGUGGCUACCUCCAACAGAGCUACCUACCUAGUUACAGGUUUGAUGACAGGAGGCAGUGUGAAGACCUUCACUUCUAUGCCUCAGUUUCGCUAUCCAGACAUGGGGCAUAUUAGGACCUACCACAUGGAUCGAUGUAGGAUUAAACGAGAGAGUGGGUACACAUGCUUUAUACAGCUCAUGGGAUUCAGUAAAUGCUCAGUAAAAGGUCAUUAUCAGCAAAUAACACUCUAGUGGGUGGGGCAGUGGUGAGAGAGGGUCAUAAAUACAAACUUGUAGAGAAGAGCUUAUUUUAACAAUUAAUUAAUUAAUUAAUUAAUUAAAGGUGAAGCCUAGGGACGCUCCCUCACUGAGCUAUGCCUCAGUUUAUUUAAUUUGUUUUAUUUUUUGUUUUGAGAUAGAGUCUCACUAAAUUGCCCGGAUAGGACUUCCACUGUCUUAUCCUCCUGCCUCAGCCUCCUGGGUGCUGGGAUUACAGGCAUGCACCACUAUACCCGGCUGGUAGAGCUUAUUGAAUUGGCUGUGAGGCCUUCUGAGGUGUUUUGAGAUGGAAAGGCUUAGAGUCUGGGUCUUAGGUCCCUGCGGGAAGGCUGCUUGGAGGCCUGAGUGUGAGCAGAUCUGACUGCCCGGCUGUCCCCAUGACUACCGUGCAAUGCUGCGUGAACUUUGUUUUGCCCCCUUUCUUUCUGGGCACUUCGAAGCCACUGCACAGUCUGGGGAGCAGAUGGUGAAGGGUUACUGUCCCCUCCUGGGUCUGAGCAGAGCUUGGGGAGGCAGGGAUGAGGGACAGCGAGAGCAAGGCUCUGGCCACUGCAGGGGCCACUGUGCCGAGCACCCUGUCUCUUACUGUCCCGUCGUCCCUGCCGGGUACUGGGGGGACAGCCGAGGAGGGACUCGGUUUUCUGAACUGGCUCCAGUGUGGCGUUCUUGCUCAGAUGAAAAGAAAACCCCUCGUUGUGAAGCACGCCAGACUGGGACAGACACGCGAUGGGCCCUUUUUGUCCUUGGCUGGAGUCAAGCAGGGACGGAAGUGUUCACACGCACUUUCCUUAUGGGACCCAGAGCCGCCAUGAUGCUCCUGACUGUCGUGAGUGCUGUGCAGACUACUGGGAUGUGUGGUGAGAAGUCCAGGGGUCCUGUCCUCGGCUCUAGUCGACCAUCUUGCUCAGAGACUACAAGUCCCAGCAUCCUUUGCAGACGAGCCCGGCAGCCUCAGCCUGCCUUGAAGGAGAGACCCUGAGGUGACCCCCCAGUCCUGGCCACAAGAAAAUGCUCUCUAUCAAAAGACAGUAGAGACCUUUUCACUCCCAGUGGCUUCCUCACACCGCAAGGAGACAGAAACUCAAGACCUCCUCCCUGCUCAUUCAUUGAGCCAAGGACCAGAACUUUGGCAAGCUCGCAGGCUUUGUCAGAUGGGAGCCAUGGCAGUGAAUAAAAAAAGUGAAACCAGAUGUGCUUCCCUCCACUCGCUCCAUAUCCAAGCAGGGACGGAGGGAGGAGGCCGUAAAAAUGUCACAGCCCUUGAUUUCCGAGGCCCAGAUUACGCGCCGGGUAACCUCGCACCGUAAAUCCACGCUUCCGAAGGGGCAGGCCCAGCUGCGUGUGGACGCGAGGAGGCGGCCCUGCCGAGCCAGCUCAAGCCGGAAGGAGGAUGAGAAGACAGCUAGGACCAGACAGACUUCAGGAGCCCACAGAGGCCGGAACUUAUCCUGGUGCCGCUGGGAGCCAUCAGACUGCCGAUUUCCAAAGCUUAUUUUGAGUUGGGCAUGUUGAGGCAUUCAUCUACAAGCCCAGCACUCUGGGAAGCGGAGGCAGGGGGAUCAAAAGUUCAAGCCCAGCCUGUUUCAAAAUAAAAAAUAGCAAAGGGGUGGUACUUAAUGAGACCCUGUUUCAAAGUAAAAAAUACAAAGAGCCGGAAUGAGGCUCAGUGAGAAGGCCCUGCGUUCAGUCCCCAGUACCACAGGCAUACACACGCACACACACACACACACACACACACACACCCCGAGUUAUUUUGCUGGCCAUGGAAAGAACAGAUUAUGCAGCUAUGGGUGAGAAUGUUAGAGAGGAGACAACUUCAGAGGCCAUGACAGACUUCCAAGCUCAAGAUGGUGGCUUAGACGAGAUGGAUGCCAGGAAGCAGAGAAGGGUGCACAAGCUCAGAGGUCGGGGCCAAAGGCAGUGGAAGAACACUGGGACUCCCGUGUGAGCAGCGAGGGCAGCUGAGACAAGGAUCCAGUUUCCUGAAAAGAGAAAGAGUUUGUUUUGGACGAUUUAAGUUAGAAACCCUAUUGACAUCCCGGUGGAUGUUUCAGAUAAUUGGAUAUAUGGGUUUAGAGAUAGGUCAGGACUGGGGUCAGGGCUGGGGUGUACAUUUGUGAAUCAAGUCACAGAAGAUGUUUAACAAGGAAUUAUGGCAUGGAUAAAUCAAUAGGAACAGAGUUGCUUGCCCUGGCUGCUCCUGCUGUUGACAUUGCUGCUACAGCCACCUUCUGCCUCUGUGUGGCCACCCGACUAGAGCCAGAGGAUCUGAGGUUGUGGCUGCAUGUGCUCACGUGGCUGUUGCUUCUUGCUUUGCCAAGGAUGCCAGCUGUCAUUGGUGGGUCUGCGUAGCUGAGCCCAGAGGUGCCACUUCUGCUGUUAAACAUGGCACCAUGGCAACAGAGCUCCUCACCAUCUUGACCCAGCCCAGCAGGACUCCUCUCCAGUUCUCCAUUUCUUUCUUCAUGCAUCAUCUGGCUCAGAUUUUCCACUCUCCUAACAUUCUCUCAGCUUGUUGACAUUUUUACAGUGGGUAUAACCUUAUUAUUUGGUUUUUAGUCACUUAAUAUCAGCAAUUGGCUUUUUGUUUCAUCCAUGUUGCAUGAAGUGUGGCACUGGUUUCUAGUCUGUCCUAAUGGCUAAGUCCUGACAGCUGACUUUGCCCUGGGCUCCUAGGUGUCUGACCAGCUGAUGGCCGGAGCAUCACUGAUCACUGUGGGAUUGGUCAGGAUCAUACUCGUCUGCGAUGCCUGUUGACAAGAACACAGGUCCUGGUCUCCCAUUCUGUCCAUGAUUAUUGUAUUUCAUGCAAUUUCCAUUUUACACAGCAACCAUGUUUUGUAUUUGUUCCAAUUUAAAUAGUAGCAAAUGUUCAGUUCAGUGGGUUCUUCAUAUGAAAUGGCUCAACAGCCUCCUCCCUCCUCCAAGUAAGUCUGAAAACAGAUGUGAGCUCAUAUUGUAGAGCUAAACACUGCACUUGUGUGACUGAAGCCGGCUCAGAUGCUCCGGGACAGCUGAGCAUCGUGGUGGGAAUUAUUGUGCUCUAGUGUGCAGCCCUGGCCCUACUUAUUUAAUCCUGGGAUGGACCCUGUUUCUCUACACCUGUGAGCCUCCAUCCCCUGAGGAAUCCUUGAAGCUCUUAGAAGUCUCUGAAAGAAACAAAUGGAGCCCACAGUGUAGGGCAGGGUAUUUGCUUGGCUUUUGGUGAUAUCUGAAUCACUCCCUAGACUGGGUAUGUGAUGCUGUCCCACUUGGGAGCCUUGGUACUGAGAACUGGGGUGACAAUGGAUGUGUGCAGUGUAUGAAAGGGGUGGACCCUUAGAUCACCCAGAGCAAGGAUGUGGAGUAAGACUGAGAACCAGGGAGAGGCCCCAGGGGCAGCACCCACAGGUCAAGGCGGCUAGCAGGAAGCCAACUCCUGAAGGGUGACAGGGGAAGAUUGUUGGGUGGGAAGUAGGUGUGGGUGGGAAAGCAGGGAAUGGCAUCAUGGAGGCUGGGGGAGAAGUUCAGUCCAGUUCUGGAAGGAAGAAUGGUGAGUCAGCCCACUGCAGAGACACCAGAUGAGAAUGCAAGUCAGCAGCACCUGGUGGCUUUAACAACAGUUGGUCAGUGGAGAAAUGUUGCAUCAGGAAGUUAGAAAAUGAGCCACAAAAACACUGGGUGAAGCUAUGCAGAGAGAAUCUGGCAAACAGAUUCAGGGCAGGGGCCAGAAGACAGGCGCAGUGUUGAGGUUGGGAUCUGAUCUGCUUGGUUUUGUGCACUCAGCUUUGCUUGGAGGUUUGGGUGGGGGUUUAAUGGGAUUUAUUUCAAAGAGAACACACAUGUGGAAGAAGGCUAUGAGUGCCAGAAAAAGGCAGAGAGAGUAACAGACUGAGAGAGCCAUUCACUUUUCAAAAUCAACUACUCAGUCCACACCUUCACAGCUCAAGCUCACCUCUCCCAGGCCCAAUAAAAGUGUCACAGCCCUGUCCCUGAAGCUGUUUGGGGCAACUCUGCUAUUGCUGGGAGACACCAUAGUUCCUUCUUAUUCAAGGUUUUGCUUCUUGGUGUUUAAGUUACCAGUGUUCAACUGUGGUCCAAAAAUAUUAAAUGGAAAAUUCCAGAAGUAAGCAAUUCACCAGUUUUAAGCUGUAUAUCCUUCUGCACGGCAUGAUGAAAUCUCAUGCAGUUUCAUGUCAUCCCACCUGGGAUACAAAUGAUCCCCUUGUCCAGCGUAUCCACACUGUAUAUGCUACCCGCUUUGUAGUCACUUAGUAGAUAGCCUGAUUAUCAAAUUGAUUGUUGAAAUAUUAUAGUGCUUAUGUUAAAUAACCUUUAUUUUGCUUUUAACAAUAGCUCCAAAGUGCAAGAGUGGUGAUACUAGCAUCUUUAUUAUAAUAUAUUGUUAUAAUAGUUCUAUUUUAUUAUUAGUCGUUAAUCUCUUCCUGCACCUAAUUAAUAAAUGAAACCUUAUCACAAGUGUGUGUGUAUAGAAAUAUAGCGUAUGUAGGAUUUAAUACUACAGUUUCUGGCUUCCACUGAGGGUCUUGGAACAUACUUCUAUCGAGAAGGGGAUAACAGUGUUUUUGUUGUCUUUAUCAUAGUUGUGGUUUUCAUGGAGAGAAUCUUGGUGAUGCAAUGAAGGGGACACAUGGAGAGGUGGAUGAGAAAAGAUGGAAGAGAGAAAGGAGGAGGGCAGAGAGGGGCAGCACAAAGCACAGGGGACAAGAGGCAAGGGCAAGGUGGACGUGAGUCAGGGAGCUCAGGCUCCCCCCGUCCAGCUCUGCUUUCCCUGCGUAGUCAGAGGCAAGGCCGCCUGCUGAGUGGGACCACGGAGGUGUGACGGGACUUGAUGGAGGCCCCUGAGGCAGAGCUCCUGUGAGGACUGAGCAGGGGCUGGGAGAGGACUGCCGAUCCCCGCACACCUGGCUGCCCCAGUGGUGUUCCUGAUGCCCUGCUGUAGGUGGUCUGGUCAUGAUGGCGGAAGGAAGAGGGUGUGUGGGAAUUAGGGGAGGACACAAAGGUCAAGACAGGUGAGACAAUCAGUCAAAGGGAGCAAAGGGAGCAGCAUGGGCCACAGCAAUCCAUUUUCUUCUUCUUCCACCCACUCCCAGGUGCCUUACGGAAGAACAUACGUAUUUGCUUCCUGUUUUUAUCCUGAGAGAAGUGUCUGCGGUAAGUCACACACUGAGGAAGAGCCAGGAGAGAAUGUGGGCAGUGGUGGCUGGCGCUGGGAAGGGGAGGAGCAGAGCUCUGGUGAUAGACCGGACUGCCAGAGUGCUGUGUUCCCUAGUAGGUUUUAUUUUUAGGACUCUUUCGGGGCCAUAGCCAAAUGGAACAGAUACCACAGUGUUCCUAUGGACCCCAGUCUUCUCACCAAACCAAAGGGGUCUGUUUGCUACAACCAAGGAGCCUACACUGGCACUUCACUGUCUCCUGAAGUCCAGAGUUCACAUUAGCAUUCCCUCUCCGUGUUGCACAUUGUAUGGGUUGUGACCACGUAUCCACCAUUACAGUAUCAAUAUCAAAUGGAACAGGUUUCACUGCCCCACCUGUUCAUUCCUCCUUCCCGUGAGCCCUGACAGCCACUGAUCUUUUCCUGUCCCCAGGGCUUUACCUUCCCAGAAUGUCGUGUCGGUGGAAUCACACAGGAUACAGACCUUACGCAUUGUCUUCUUUGACUUAGCCACAUGCAUUUAAGGUCCCUGCAUGAGCUUGACGCCCACAUCUUUUUCACACCGAGUAAUAUUCCAACGAUCUGGACGUACCACAGCUUAUGUAUCCAUCCAUCUACCAAAAGACAACUUCAGAGCUCAAAAGUUUGGCAAUUAUGGAUAAAGCCUCUAAUUUCUUUUUUUUUUUUUUGUACCAGGAAUCA